rfam:Megamonas hypermegale ART12/1 draft genome.
UAUUUAUUGAGUGGAAUAGGUGCCCCUUUUGGGCUUAAUAGAGAAAGCAGUAAAAGCUGCUACGGUCCCGCCGCUGUGAAAGUGAGCAACUUCAAAUUUAUGUCACUGAGAUAUUUCUUGGGAAGGCUUGAAGAAGCGAUGAACUUGAGUCAGAAGAACUGCCUAUUUGUCAAUCACCGU